CUUGCAUCCAAUGCUGUCCAAUUGUCUUAGAGAUAAUAAAUUUUUCUUUAGGCCUUUUACGUGUCGUACCUCCUGGAUAGUGCGAACUGUACCAUCAUACAUUUUUAAUUUAAUGGUACAAAUACCAGCGAUCUCCAAGGCAUGAUCAUUUCCCAUAAACACAAAUCCUCCUAGGAUAGUCUCAUAUUGAUGGAACCAUUCCCUCAUUGGUGUUAUGUGCCAUAUAGCUCUUGAAUCCAUAAGCCAGACAUCAAAAAAUUUCUUUCUGCCUUCAACAAUUGUUGUUGCCUUGCUGUAUAAAAUUUCACCAUCAUUUGAGGUGCUUACUACACAAGCCUGAGCUUUUGAUGUUCCAGGACCUUUUCCUUUGAUUUCUUCAUUCUUCUUGAGACUCCAACAAUUCCUUUUUAAAUGCCCUUUCUUACCACAGUAAUGACACUUGACAUUUUUCUUACUCCUGGAUUUUGAUCUACUCUGAUUAUGACUCCCACUGAGCCACGUUCCGUUGAUCUCCCUCUCAUCAUCGUUAAAGCUUCCGCCUGAUGCAAACUUGUCGAUAUGUCCUCCUUGUUUUUUCACCGACUUUCUUCUUCAAGAAUAGCAGCUGCAACAUCAUCGAAGACUAGAGUUUCAAAGUUGUUGGUUAAAUUGAUGAUGAGUUGAUCAUACGAAUCUAGCAGACUUUGAAGUAAGAUUUCAGCACGUUCACCCGCCUCUAUAUU
rnacentral:lncRNA from 1 species